rnacentral:rRNA from 1 species
GACGAACGCUGGCGGCGUGCCUAAUACAUGCAAGUAGAACGCUGAAGGAGGAGCUUGCUUCUCCGGAUGAGUUGCGAACGGGUGAGUAACGCGUAGGUAACCUGCCUGGUAGCGGGGGAUAACUAUUGGAAACGAUAGCUAAUACCGCAUAAGAGUAGAUGUUGCAUGAUAUUUGCUUAAAAGUUGCAAUUGCAUCCCUACCAGAUGGACCUGCGUUGUAUUAGCUAGUUGGUGGGGUAACGGCUUACCAAGGCGACGAUACAUAGCCGACCUGAGAGGGUGAUCGGCCACACUGGGACUGAGACACGGCCCAGACUCCUACGGGAGGCAGCAGUAGGGAAUCUUCGGCAAUGGACGGAAGUCUGACCGAGCAACGCCGCGUGAGUGAAGAAGGUUUUCGGAUCGUAAAGCUCUGUUGUAAGAGAAGAACGAGUGUGAGAGUGGAAAGUUCACACUGUGACGGUAGCUUACCAGAAAGGGACGGCUAACUACGUG